ACUAUUUUGGCAGAUAAAUGUAAUGGUUUUAGAAAUCAUAAAUAUAUAAAUUUAAGUUAUAUAGGUAGUA
rnacentral:tRNA from 1 species